AAAAUAUCUGAUAUUUUUAUUUAUUUUAUAAGAGUUAUUGUUCUUUAAGAUAAUAUAAAUGAGCUAAAAGAAUAUGGUUACACAACAGCAGCAUAGGAGGAGGAUGAAAUAGAUAAUUGUUUUACAAGUUCCAAAGGCACAUUUAAAGUGAAAAUUACCAAAUUUUCCGUUGCCUCCAACAGUUUUGCAAUCCAUACCAACAAAAUCAUUAAUGAGAUCAUUUGAUUUUAAUUUGUCACCUGGAUCAAUUAUUUUAAAACAAUCAAAUAUUUGUUCUGCUUUGCCUAACUCUUUACCUUUACACACAGAGGAACAAUCAACUUCGUAUUCUGAGUCACUGUCUUUGCCUAACUUCUUUUUACCUUCAAAAUCAACUGAAAAGGAACAAUCAAGUUUUUUUACAGGUACACUGUCUUUGAUUAUUGUUUUACAUCUAAAAAAUGUUGUUUAAAAUUUUUUCUUUUAUUUAAUUUAUUUUUUGGCAUUAUGAGGUGAAACCCUCAUACUCAAGAGUUCAAAAAAAAAGAAAACAUAAGAAGAAGUACAAAAAAACACUAUGGUUGAAGCCCUUGGACCAGAGAAGUUAGUUAAAAAUCAGUUUCCUAUGGAAGUUGGAAAAUACCAGCAUAUGAUGUUCAAAAUGGUAUCAAAAAUUCUUGAAAAUCAGGACUAAUUAUUGCUGUUAAUAAACAACCCCAUAGUAAUUUGGCAGUUAAGCAAUUAGAGAUUAUAGCAGAAUACAAAGAUUUUGUCAAAUAUUUAGAGGAUGAUUCAGUUCGCCUUGAUUUGCUAAAUACUUUGUCUUUACAUAUUGAAAAUAUUUACAUAUUGAAAACCUUGUAAAUUUAAAAUAGUUAUUUUAAAUAAUUAUUUUAUUUUGGUUUUGAUUUUUUUUUUAUUUAGGUUAAACAACUGAGUUUUUUAGGCGCAGAAGAAUGUAAACAGCUGAUAAGAUUGGUUAUGAAUAGAUUAUUUACAAAUACCCUAUUGGCACAGUUUAAUUUAAAAGGUUCUGUUGGAAAAAUUGGUUUAUUAUCAACGAAGCUAUAUGAUGUAUUAGAAGAAGUUGUAACUAAAAGGUUUAGAAAAGUUUCAAAUUCUGAUAUAAGACAGCAAAUCGGAAGAUAUUGUAAAAAUGCUCCAUCGCUUAAAAAUAGAAACUAAAAUUUAUUUUUUAUUGUAUAUAUUAUAUGUUAUAUACAUUGUUAUAUAAAAAGAUACUUUAUUAA
rnacentral:misc_RNA from 1 species